rnacentral:rRNA from 1 species
GUGAGGAAUUUUCCGCAAUGGGCGAAAGCCUGACGGAGCAAUGCCGCGUGAAGGAUGAAGGCCUAUGGGUUGUAAACUUCUUUUCUCAGAAAAGAAUUAUGACGGUAUCUGAGGAAUAAGCAUCGGCUAACUCUGUGCCAGCAGCCGCGGUAAGACAGAGGAUGCAAGCGUUAUCCGGAAUGAUUGGGCGUAAAGCGUCUGUAGGUUGUUUAAAAAGUAUUCUGUCAAAGAUUAGGGCUUAACCCUAGAUAGGCAGAAUAAACUUUUAAGCUAGAGUUUGGUAGAGGCAGAGGGAAUUCCCGGUGGAGCGGUGAAAUGCGUAGAUAUCGGGAGGAACACCAAAGGCGAAGGCACUCUGCUGGGCCAAUACUAACACCGAGAGACGAAAGCGAGGGGAGCAAAUGGGAUUAGAUACCCCGGUAGUCC